rnacentral:rRNA from 1 species
AGAGUUUGAUCCUGGCUCAGGAUGAACGCUAGCUACAGGCUUAACACAUGCAAGUCGAGGGGAAACGACAUUGGAAGCUUGCUUCCGAUGGGCGUCGACCGGCGCACGGGUGAGUAACGCGUAUCCAACUUGCCCACCACUUGGGAAUAACCUUGCGAAAGUAAGACUAAUGCCCAAUGACGUUGAAAGAAGACAUCUGAUUUCAACUAAAGAUUCAUCGGUGAUGGAUGGGGAUGCGUCCGAUUAGCUUGUUGGCGGGGUAACGGCCCACCAAGGCGACGAUCGGUAGGGGUUCUGAGAGGAAGGUCCCCCACAUUGGAACUGAGACACGGUCCAAACUCCUACGGGAGGCAGCAGUGAGGAAUAUUGCGCAAUGGGGGCAACCCUGACGCAGCAACGCCGCGUGAUCGAAGAAGGUCUUCGGAUUGUAAAGAUCUUUUAUCAAGGACGAAGAUAUGACGGUACUUGAUGAAUAAGCUCCGGCUAACUACGUGCCAGCAGCCGCGGUAAUACGUAGGGAGCGAGCGUUAUCCGGAUUUACUGGGUGUAAAGGGCGAGUAGGCGGGCUGGUAAGUUGGGAGUGAAAUGUCGGGGCUUAACCCCGGAACUGCUUUCAAAACUGCUGGUCUUGAGUGAUGGAGAGGCAGGCGGAAUUCCCAGUGUAGCGGUGAAAUGCGUAGAUAUUGGGAGGAACACCAGUGGCGAAGGCGCCUUUCUGGACUGUGUCUGACGCUGAGAUGCGAAAGCCAGGGUAGCGAACGGGAUUAGAUACCCCGGUAGUCCUGGCCGUAAACGAUGGGUACUAGGUGUAGGAGGUAUCGACCCCUUCUGUGCCGGAGUUAACGCAAUAAGUACCCCGCCUGGGGAGUACGUCCGCAGGGAUGAAACUCAAAGGAAUUGACGGGGGCCCGCACAAGCGGUGGAGUAUGUGGUUUAAUUCGACGCAACGCGAAGAACCUUACCAAGGCUUGACAUUGAAUGACCGCUUCAGAGAUGGAGCUUUCCCUUCGGGGACAUGAAAACAGGUGGUGCAUGGCUGUCGUCAGCUCGUGUCGUGAGAUGUUGGGUUAAGUCCCGCAACGAGCGCAACCCCUAUCCUAUGUUACCAGCGGGUAAUGCCGGGGACUCAUAGGAGACUGCCAAGGACAACUUGGAGGAAGGCGGGGAUGACGUCAAGUCAUCAUGCCCCUUAUGUCUUGGGCUACACACGUACUACAAUGGUCGGCAACAGAGGGAAGCGAAGCCGUGAGGCAGAGCAAACCCCAGAAACCCGAUCUCAGUUCGGAUUGCAGGCUGCAACUCGCCUGCAUGAAGUCGGAAUCGCUAGUAAUCGCAGGUCAGCAUACUGCGGUGAAUACGUUCCCGGGCCUUGCACACACCGCCCGUCA